UACGUAGGGUGCAAGCGUUGUCCGGAAUUAUUGGGCGUAAAGAGCUUGUAGGCGGUUUGUCGCGUCUGCUGUGAAAUUUCGGGGCUCAACCCCGAACUUGCAGUGGGUACGGGCAGACUAGAGUGUGGUAGGGGAGACUGGAAUUCCUGGUGUAGCGGUGAAAUGCGCAGAUAUCAGGAGGAACACCGAUGGCGAAGGCAGGUCUCUGGGCCGAUACUGACGCUGAGGAGCGAAAGCAUGGGUAGCGAACAGG
rnacentral:rRNA from 1 species